CGGUAAUACGUAGGGGGCGAGCGUAUCCGAUCAUUGGGCGUAAAGCGCGCGUAGGCGGCCUGUUAGGUCGGGAGUCAAAUCCGGGGGCCAACCCCCGUCCGCUCCCGAUACCGGCGGGCUUGAGUCUGGUAGGGGAAGGUGGAAUUCAAGUGUAGCGGUGGAAUGCGCAGAUAUUUGGAAGAACACCGGUGGCGAAGGCGGCCUUCGGGCCACGACUGACGCUGAGGCGCGAAAGCUAGGGGAGCGAACAGGAUUAGAUACCCUGUAGUCCUAGCCGUAAACGAUGGGCACUAGGUGUGGGGGGACGAUCCCUCCGUGCCGCAGUAACGCAUUAAGUGCCCCGCCUGGGGAGUACGGCCGCAAGGCUAAAACUCAAAGGAAUUACGGGGGCCCGCACAAGCAGCGGAGCAUGUGGCUUAAUUCGAAGCAACGCGAAGAACCUACCAGGGCUUGACAUAUGGGUGAAGCGGCGGAAACGCCGUGGCCUAACGGAGCCCAUACGGUGGUGCAUGGCUGUCGUCAGCUCGUGUCGUGAGAUGUUGGGUUAAGUCCCGCAACGACGCAACCCUCGUCGCAUGUUGCCAGCGGUUCGGCCGGGCACCCAUGCGAGACCGCCGGCUCAAGCCGGAGGAAGGUGGGGACGACGUCAAGUCAUCAUGCCCCUUAUGUCCUGGGCUGACACGUGCUACAAUGGCGCGGACAAUGGGCUGCCACUGCGCGAGCAGGAGCGAAUCCCCAACCGCGCCCCAGUUCGGAUUGGAGGCUGCAACCCGCCUCCAUGAAGUCGGAGUUGCUAUAAUCGCGGAUCAGCACGCCGCGGUGAAUGCGUUCCCGGGCCUUGCACACACCGCCCGU
rnacentral:rRNA from 1 species